GCACUUUAAAAUGGCGUUUAUUUUCAGAAGUAUGUGAUUUUUUAAAUAUUGAUGUUUUACAUUUUGGUACCUUGAUUUUUAACAGGCGUUUAAAUCAUUUUUAUUUGUACGUAAUUCAGCCCCUAUCAACGAUUAUGAAAACCUGGAUCGCAUCGAUCAACUGCUGACUGAACCGUUAAUUAAUGAAACAACGGGUCAGAGCAAAUCUGUCAACAGAUGUGUACUGCAAGAUAUUUCAAACGUCGACUUGUCAACGCUUGUCUCACAACCGGGGUUUGCUACACCCAAACCGAAGACAUCACUGUCACUCAGUUCACGGAGACGCAA